rnacentral:rRNA from 1 species
UACGUAGGCAGCAAGCGUUGUUCGGAGUUACUGGGCGUAAAGGGUGUGUAGGCGGUUGCUUAAGUUUGGUGUGAAAUCUCCCGGCUCAACCGGGAGGGUGCGCCGAAUACUGAAUAACUAGAGUGCGGGAGAGGAAAGUGGAAUUCCUGGUGUAGCGGUGAAAUGCGUAGAUAUCAGGAGGAACACCGGUGGUGUAGACGGCUUUCUGGACCGUAACUGACGCUGAGACACGAAAGCGUGGGUAGCAAACAGG